rnacentral:rRNA from 1 species
UUGGAUUCGUCUGAGGUGAGAGUGGCGGACGGGUGAGUAACACGUAGGUGACCUGCCCCGGAGGAGGGGGACAACCACUGGAAACGGUGGCUAAUACCCCCAGAUGUUAUUGCGCUUAGAAAGCAAUUACUAAAGCUCCGGCGCUCCGGGAGGGGCCUGCCGGCCCAUCAGCUUGUUGGUAGGGUAAUGGCCUACCAAGGCAAAGACGGGUAGGGGGCGUGAGAGCGUGACCCCCCACACUGGUACUGAGACACGGACCAGAUACCUGCGGGUAGCAGCAGCAAGGAAUAUUCGCCCAAUGGACGAAAGUCUGAGGCAGCAACACCGCGUGGAGGAUGAAGGCCUUCGGGUUGUAAACUCCUUUCUGGGGGAAGAGAAAGGACGGUACCCCAGGAAUAAGUCUCGGCUAACUACGUG